UACGUAGGGUGCGAGCGUUGUCCGGAAUUAUUGGGCGUAAAGGGCGCGUAGGCGGAAAGGAAAGUCAGAUGUGAAAUCCCGGGGCUCAACCUCGGAACAGCAUUUGAAACUCCCAUUCUAGAGGGUAGGCGGAGAAAACGGAAUUCCACAAGUAGCGGUGAAAUGCGUAGAUAUGUGGAAGAACACCGGUGGCGAAGGCGGUUUUCUAGCUUAUACCUGACGCUGAGGCGCGAAAGCAAGGGGAUCAAACAGGG
rnacentral:rRNA from 1 species